CCUGCUAAUGCUGGUCUGGCUG
rnacentral:piRNA from 1 species